rnacentral:lncRNA from 1 species
CUUCAUUUUGGUCUAUGCUGAAACGCUGCGCAUAAGGGCUGGGAAUAUUUUCCUAGUCAGUCCCUCAUUCUUUGAGCGCGUUCUAUUUUGGUCCCCUAGUAACCCUUUUUUUAUUUACAAUUUAAACCCUAAAUUUUAAUUCGAUUUCAAUAUCGUCCUCAAUCCAUUUAACUUAUUUAUUUAAAAAAAUUCUCUUUUAUCAUUAUUUAUUUUAAGUUUUUAUAUAUUAUUUAUUUUAAACUG